UACAAUCAUGGCCACAAACCAAGGUGUGGUUGCUGAGGAAGAGCGUCUGCAUGAUUUGUUUGUCGGAGACUGCGGCGAUGGACCUGCCCAUGAAUCUUCUGAGCAAUCAAAUAUAAAGGAAUCAUCUACCCCGCCUGAUCUUAUUGUUCAGAGACAGCUCAGAGAUGUUAUAAUGCUUCAAAAUGCAACCAUAGAAUGUCUUCAUCAAAAUGUUACCUUUCAAGAGUCUUUUAUGAAAGAAAAUCUUGUGAGUAAGGAAGAGCAUGUAAUGAAGAUACAGGAGUUUGAGCAUGCAUUACAGGAGAAGUAUGUGCCUAGAGAAGAAUAUGACUCUGUUCUGCAACAGUUGGAGAAUGAACAGCAGCUUCAUGCUAAAACCAAACUAAAGCUGCUUGAGGUGACAGACCGCUUAGACUUUACUCUGGAGGAAUUGGAAAUCCUCAACAGACAGAUGAUGAAGGAAAAAGAAUCUUUUCAACAAAUGGUGGAUAGCAUGCGAAGCCAGAUUGCAAAGGGAAAGAACUGGAAUGAAGAGUUGGAGACAAAAUAUGCAGCAUUGCAACAGAGGUGUCAGGAACUGGAGGGGAGACUCACCAGUCGAGAGACAACCAUAGAGAUUUUAGAAGCACAGCUGCAAAAGCAACAAAAACAAUGUGAGCGUAAAAUUGAAGAAAUUGAAGUAGAGCGCCAGCAAGACCAAUAUGUUGCUCGCAUGCUGGACCAGCCUUCCCGGGGACGCAGUAAAGUCUGUUGUAGCAGCAAAGUUACGUGUGGUCAUAAGCUGAAGCGGUAGUAGCGACCUUGCCAAACAAGCACUCAGUGACAGAAGGAAUGUGCACUACUCAGCUCAGGACGCUGAGACUAAAGUGGAAGCUGGUAGUGCCAACCUUCCCAGGAAUUUCUCACUUUCAUGCUACCUCACUUUUUUUGAUGUGCAUUCUUAAGAGGCACCUUGUGUAUAGACAGGCAUUAAAAAGAUAACUUGUGUUUGCCUUAAUAGAGAGCAGUAUUAUAUUAAACCUCCUAACAGGCCCCGUGUUUAGGGGCAGGCAGAUGAGGCAUCUGCCUAGCACCCCGCGCUUUUGAUAUUUGUCAGGGACCCUGUGCUUUUGAUUAAAACCAUAGUUAUCAUGGCAUUGAGGGCCCCGCACAUGUCUUAUGCCUUGGGCUUUGUGGGGGGUAAGAACGGGGCUGCCUUCUAGCAGGGCAUAAAAGUAUAAAUAUUACAUGACUGGAUAAUAACUGAAGACUGUGAAGACGACAAAAGGUGAAGUUUGUUUUUUAUUAUUGCUGUUCUCAGGUAAACAUUAGACCGAGAAACCUAUGCAAUUUUUGGAAAAGAGAAAACAUGAACUUUGCAAUAAAAGUAUGAAAAUUGCACAAAUCUGCACAAGCAGACAUGCAAUGAGAAUCUCCAGUUGUCUCUAAACAUGACUUACUACCUUAUAUCAAGAUUUUAUGCACAGCUUUGAUUUCAUAUUAAUGAAAGUGGCCUGGUACAAUGCGUAGAGUACAAAUCACACAAAUAUUCUUUAGAAGUGGUCUUCCAGUAACUUUGAAAUUGUCUCCCUGCUGCACUCAAGAGCUGAUACUAGCAGAUGUCUGUAAGUUACUUCACAGCUGAGAUAAUAGCAGACUUCAGUAAGUUAGAAUAUGAUGAUAAAAAUGGUGUCAUUUGAAGAAGGUAGUCAUUAGUUUUAACCACCUUAAAACUGUUGCUGCAAAUUGUGAUAUUAUGAUUUAUUUUGCCCAGAUCUUAAGUACAGUGAUAUGACUGAUUUUUUGUUGUUGUGUGUAAUUAAAAUGAAACAGAUUAAGCAUUUAAGGUGAGAAUAGUUUUGUUGAUAUUACUGUAAAUUUUUAGAGAUAUAUUUACUGUUAUGGCAAUAUUUUGGGAUAGUUUUUGAAGUUAUGAAAUAGGACAGCUUCUGGACACAGAGAACUUUGUAAGUGGAACACCAUAAUUAAGUUAUGAUCAGUCUGAGUGCACGGUUACAAAAAUUGUACAAAAACAGUGAUGUUUUUUACAUCACAUACAAUUUUCUUAUCGUUAGUCUCAGUAGAGUGAGUAGACCCUCAGGUCCUUUGAUAAAUGUGUGAAUGAAAUUUGUUGCUUUCUGAGAGGCAGUUUGUGUCAGUGGAGAUAGUAACUUCAGUUGAUUGUUUGGCUGACAAGCUCACAAUACUGUUAUUCUCUUCCUGUAAAGUUAAGUUUGAAGUGACUAAUACUUUCAUAUGUAAAGCCUCUGCUUAUGUUGUUUUUGCGCACAUUAUGAGGCUUCAUGGGACUGAUAUUUGAUCACUGUGAGAUGCCAUAGCUGCCAUUCCUUCACUUUGAAAUUUGUUGACUGUUCUCACACUGAAAAUAUAUCUUUAACAUGCAAGAUCUCCUUACUGAUGCUCAAGGCGGGAUAAAGUGGCAAGCCUUGUUAGUUACUGAAUCUUUUCAGUUGUUUCCCUUUCCCCUUCCCCCUUCCCCCAAGAUGACCAGCCAUUGUCAGCUGGUACCAGUCAAGUGAUGAAUAAAUAAAUCUCUGACUGUGAGGCUGUCUCAGACUUAAUGUGGUGUGUGUGAUUGAUAUUUGCUCACUGUGAGGUUGUACGUGACUGAUUCUCACUGUGAGGUGUGAUUUGUCCUUCUCUAGCUCAGCUCAUGUUGACUUUUUGUUUUCUAAUUAUGAGGUUCUGAGUGAGUUUUUUUUAUUAUCUCAAUGUAUUGGACUCCUGAAAACCACAUGUGUUUGGCUAUUGUAUCUUAAUAAACAGGAUCUGUUUAUAGGUAAUAUCUGCAUGUGUUUGGGUAUUGUGGUUUAAGAAACAAAGGAUCUAUUUACAGCUAAUGCAUAUUUGUAUUCGGUAUUGUUGCUUAGUGGACAACUUGUCCUGUGAAAAUGAAAGGAUAAUAUGCCUAGUCUGAUACUGGUAAUGUGCUGUCUGGUGAAACAGGAGGUCAGCUGCUCCAUUUUGGUCUUAGGGCUGAAUUCUCAGUUUGGUAUGGGUGUGUUAGCUCACAAUUGUUGGACAUACUUUCUUGCUGCUAUCAUGCUUUGCUCCAGGGCUUGAGAGCAGUACUUCUCUUGUAUUGAUGAGAGUUUGAUAAGGAAGUGUGUGCACACUGUGUAUGAUGGCCUGUUUGGAUGGUGGAAAUGACUGCGUUGCUUCUGGUGUAUGUGGUGUACUUUUCCUGUGAUGUUAAAUUUAGUAUUUUUUGUGCAUAUUUGUAUGUUUUAUAAAUCAUGAAAUAAACAACAAAACACCCCCAAAGGAUGUAAUACCAGUCCGCUGAUUGUCUACAUUCGGUUUUGUUGACAUGUUUUAUUUUCUCUAGUUAAAAGCGCCGGUGAAAGUGUUAGGACUGGUGCUUUCGCAAGUAAUAAACAAUUGAGAAGAUA